rnacentral:misc_RNA from 1 species
GAUUCAUGACGUCACAUGGUGCAAACCCAGCAUUCGAAUUUCUGUAUGACGAGUUUGUUUGGCAAAGACAGUGUGUUAUAUGUGCCCCGAUCAACCCAUAUUCAUUCUCUGGAUUUUAAAGGAUUUAUAGCAACUAUUACGUGUCGAUGUGGGUGUCAAUAGGCUAAAAUUGAGGCAAAAUGCUCAAGUGUAUACCCCUGUUUCGCGCUUGUAAUCGCCAGGUCGAGUACGUGGAUCGGCGACAUUGGGGAUUAACCACUGUCCCUGAUGAUGUUUUCAGAUAUGCCAGGAGCUUGGAGGAAUUAUUACUAGAUGCCAAUCAAAUAAAGGAUCUUCCUCGAGGCUUCUUCCGUCUCGUGCAGUUGAGGAAAUUGAGCCUUAGUGACAAUGAGAUCGGACGCUUGUCGCCCGAUAUUGGCAGUUUCGUCAAUCUCAUGGAAUUGGAUAUUAGCAAAAAUGAAAUAUUCGAUAUACCAGAGAGCAUCAAAUUCUGUAAAAAUCUCCAAGUACUCGAUUUUAGCAGCAAUCCUAUAUCAAGACUGCCUGACGGCCUGACGCAGCUCCGGAACCUUACACACCUCGGCCUUAAUGAUGUAUCGCUAGAGAGAUUGCCGUACGACAUUGCAAGUCUCACCAACCUUCAAUCUCUGGAGCUGCGAGAAAACCAACUGAAGGAACUGCCGAGGUCACUAUCAUACCUGACUAAGCUGAAAAUACUGGAUGUCGGCAGUAAUGAGAUCGGGGCCUUGCCUGACACAAUAGGUCAUCUACCAUCUCUGGAAGAACUGUGGUUGGACUGUAAUGACCUCACUGAUUUGCCAGUGGAGAUCGGCAACCUGAAGAGGUUGACACAGCUGGAUGUCUCUGAGAACCAGCUGGAUUUUCUGCCGGAGGAGAUUGGGGGUCUACACAAUUUGACUGACCUCUCUUUGUCACAGAACAACCUAGAAUACCUACCUGAUGGAAUAGGAUUCUUGAAGAGACUAGCCAUCUUGAAAGUUGAUCAGAACCGGCUGAUUGCCCUGACUCCACACAUAGGAAGCUGUGAAAAUUUACAAGAACUAAUUUUAACAGAGAACUUAUUAUCAGAUUUGCCAAUUACAAUAGGAAAGCUAAAAAACCUGUCUAAUUUGAAUGUAGAUAGAAACAGACUUACAGAAAUUCCAAUAGAGCUGGGGAAAUGCACCAAACUGGGGGUCCUGUCCUUGCGAGACAACAAGCUGCUCAGGCUACCACAAGAGUUGGGCAAUCUGGUGAAAGUACACGUCUUAGAUGUCUCAGGGAACAGGUUGGAGUAUCUGCCAAUCACAGUCAUGAACCUUAACCUGAAGGCCUUGUGGUUGUCCGAAAACCAGGCACAGCCCAUGCUGAAGUUCCAGACCGAUUUCGAUGAGCGAACAGGACAGAAAGUGCUCACCUGUUUCCUGCUCCCUCAACAAGGCUUCCACACAGAGAGCAUGGAGAACCUGCUGCGUGGUAGCACGACGGAUGGCGACAGUCGACUCAGCUGGACGGACAGCACACAACGAAAUCCUCGUGAGAGUAUUAUCAGGUUUGCCGAACAUGAGAGGGAAUCGGAUGAAGACUCAGAGACUACGUUUGUACGUCAUGACACUCCACAUCCUAAAGAACUGAAAGCUCGGCAUGCAAAGUUCGUCAAACAGAACAAAGGCAUCGACGGUCAUGUCAUUCCGCACAAUGAAAAAACUGCAGAGGAUAAGGCGUUCAUGCCUCAGAGAGACAAUGAUCCACGCUGGACAGAAGAUGACCAUUCAUCCGUGGAUGACAAACCUGAGAGGAAAGUUGCCAUGCUGAUCGAGCCACCACAGAUCAUCAAAGCUCCAGAACUGGAAGGACCUCCGCCCCCUCAGGUGGAGUCAGAAUCAUCAACAGAAGAAGAUGAGCUGCCAAAGGAAACACAGCCUCUCCUGAAGAGUGUAACAAUUGCCCCGGUCACUGUCAUGCCAGACGACCGGGCCAUGGACACGUCACAUGAGAGUGGGGAGCUGAGAGAACGCAAGGCUGACGACUCUGAUGAAGAUGCUGAUGGGACAAGGAGCGAGGAUGAAUAUAGUGAUAACGACUCGGAAGACAUGCGUGAGAGGAAGGUGGGUUUUGCUGACGACAUAGAAGAACAGCCCGAGAAGGACCAUCGACUCAGCCGCCGUGACACGCCCCACUACCUCAAGAACAAGCGUAUCAACCUGAACAGUAGCAAGGAGGAUGCUGAGCAGAAAGUGAGGGAAAUUCUUGCUCAAGCUGCAGCACAGAAGGAUAAAGCAGCAGUAGAUUCUGAUCUAGCGCCUCCCGAAGAUGAGACGAUGGCCUUGACAACACAGCACGUCCCAGUCAAGGUGGAGGAAGAGGUCGUGGCUAUAACCAUUCACCGCGGACCCGGGCAGGGUUUAGGGGUCAGCAUUGCAGGGGGAAAGGGCUCAACUCCAUAUAAAGGAGAUGAUGAGAGUAUAUUUAUUUCAAGAGUUUCGGAGGAAGGGCCUGCAGGGAAGGCUGGCAUAUUGAAAGGAGACAAACUUAUAUCAGUUAACGGUCAGGACCUCAAGGAUGCUGACCACUACGAUGCUGUGAACGUCUUGAAGAGCAGUGGGAACGACAUCAUCAUGGUUGUAGGGAGGGAGAGGCUUGUGCCCAACUCAGUCGCUGAUGUGUGUGACGGGGAGGACCACACCCACACCAGUGUGGCCACUGUGUCAUUCAGUCCCGAGCCAGAGAUGGAGGUGUAUGGGGAGACAAUUGGUACCACCCUGUAUCGGGACGCUGGUGGUCUGGGCUUCAGUAUAGCUGGUGGGCGUGGCUCUGUGCCCUACAAGGGCAAUGAUUCACAAAUGUAUUCGCUGCUGGAGGCUAUCUACAUAUCACGGAUAGUGGAAGGCGGAACAGCACAUAAUGAUGGCAAGCUACAAGUUGGGGAUCGCAUUAUGUCCAUCAACAAUGUGGAUUUGUCGGAUGCGCGGCACGAUCAAGCGGUGGCGCUACUGACUGGUUCCGACCGGAUGAUCCAGCUGGUUGUAUAUCGGGAGAAAGUGGUCCCAAAGUCCCCAGACAGUAAAGACGUAGUCGACUCAACCACAGCACACAAGUUGCCAACAAUGACACAACCACGUAUUCAUUGGAACGAGAACGUAUCUACAGCUGACGACGAGACACUGAACAUCAGCCAAUCGGAAAUCAGCUCUAGUCCAAGUGUGUUUGCUUCUGCUGUGCCGUCAUCAUAUACAUAUCAGAGCCAAGUUACUCCAGGUGUUGAUGAAGCACCCUCCCCUGUCAUUAGACCACCCCCUAUCCCAACCAUCCAAUCUACCCCUUCACCCACAAUCCAGGCCAAUCCUUCCCCUAGUGCUGGACCCUCAUCUUCACCGAAGGUGGCGCCACGGACACUCUCGUCUGAUUGGUCAACUCCCCCAGCAGCGGUCCAGCCGCCCAAGUUUGUGUACCCCGGGUUUAACCGGUCCCCCAACACGUCCCAAUCGUCCAUACGGACUACAGAAAACAAGGAAAACAUUUCCCCAACACCAGCUACAGUGUCUUUCUCAGCUCAGAGUGUAAAUAGUUCAUAUGUCAGUGACUCCAACACCAGCCCCAGUGCCGUGUUAUCGGGGAAGGAAGUUAGUGCUGGAAACAGCACACUUAUUAUGGAGCGACAGACAAUUAGUAAAGUGCAUGUGAAUCACAUUGAUUCUCCUUCAACAGAUAAAGAACAAUCCCUUUAUGAGGACAUUGUGAUACUAAAAGCUGGGGGCCCCCUGGGUCUCAGUAUUGUGGGCGGCAGUGACCACUCCAGUCAGCCUUUUGGUGCCGAGGAACCAGGCAUUUUUGUUUCUAAGAUUGUUAAGGAUGGUGCUGCUUCCAAAUCAAAGUUAAAAAUAGGAGAUAGAAUAAUAGCAGUUAACGGCAAAGAUGUAACGCAGUGUACACAUCAAGAGACUGUGAUGGCACUGAUUGCUCCAACGUUUGAGAUCAACCUUUCUGUGCGACACGACCCACCACCGAAAGGUCUUCAGGAACUUGUUAUUGUUAAGGAACAGGGAGACAAGCUUGGUAUGAGUAUUAAGGGUGGUAUCAAGAACUUCUCUGCAAACCCUCUGGACAAGAACGACGAGGGUAUCUUUAUAUCACGGAUUAACGCAGAAGGUGCUGUGGGGAAAGAUGGACGGCUCGUGAUAGGCCAGAGAAUACUUGAGGUGAAUGGUACGAGUCUGCUCGGGUCAACUCACCAAGAAGCUGUUCGAGCGUUGCGCAGUGUUGGAGACAAAAUGAACAUUAUGGUGUGUGAUGGCUACGACCCAAACUCCACCCCAGAGAUAUCCAGUCCCGGCAGUCCGGUCGGCUUUCUGGCAUCAUCCCGGCAAGGUUCUGUAUCCAGUAUUGACAGGGAGGAUGAGGAAAUGCGAUUAAUCCGACAGGAGGAGGAGAUGGUUAAGGAGACCCUACAAUGGGAGGCGGAACAUUCCGAACACCUGGAACAACUGAGGAGAGAACGGGAGCAGGAGGAACAACGACUGCAAGCCGCCGAAGAGACAGCGCGACAGACUGCCAUACUGCAACAAGAGCAUGCCCAGAUCCGCGGACCAGAAAGUCCUAAACAGAGUGCUGUGAUUGAUAAAGUGCCUGCCCCACCCACCUCAAGCCCACCCAGUGAGCAAGAAGUGACCGAGCCCCCCAAGAAGGCCAAACCCCCUGUCCCCCCUAAACGGGUGGGCCUCGCUCGUCAGGCGGAGGUUGUUGACGAGGAGGAUGCCAUUGAUCCGAGGAAACAGGCCCGGCUUCCGGCGGGGAAACUUAUUGCUCAAAAGAACACCAACAAUCAGUCUGCUCCAAAUGAGGGGCUGACAUUCAGUGACAAGCGCCGUUUCUUCGAGAAGGAGAUCAAGGAACAGAAUGAGCCUAAAACACAAACAAAAAAAUUUAGCUACUUGGCUGAACAUGAGGUGGCAAAACUGAAACUGGAAGAGGAGAAGAAAACAGCGGAUAUGUCACAGGAGGAGAUCCUCUCAUUUGUUACAGGCAGCAUCGCCACAGAGAUCUCGGGAGACCAGGAUUAUGGCAAGGUCCUUGCAAGUCUUGACCCCCGGAGUUAUCCACCAGGGGGCGGGGUUGUAAGAACUGCAAAAGCCGAACGUCGGCUCUCAGAUCGGGUCCAACUGGAUGGUGGCAGCCCACAGGAAGAUGGGGAGAAAUUAUCACCAGCCGAGGAGCGGGAACUACAGGCAGAGAAACGAGCUGCAUGGCGGAAGGCUAGGAUGAAGUCGCUGGAGGCAGAUGCUGUUCGCGCCCAGGCUGUGAUCGCUCGCGCGCAGGAAAUGUCCAAAGAUACAACGACAGCAACAUCAGGUUCUACACUGUCAACAGUCGACAUAGCAUUUGCUGGUGGAAGUAACCAAGCAGCAGAUUUAUGAAGUAGACCUCCAGCAGUCGCCUGUAUCACGCUACAACAGCACAGGCGGCAAGCGGUAGGUGAAUGCUAACUCUGACGCUGCCACAAUCAGGGACAUAUAGUUUGCCCAGCUCCUCAUCCCGGUCUGUGCCCAGUAGCCCAGCUCCAUACCCCGGUCUGUGCUCCUUGGCCUGUGUGAGCUGUCAGGGCACAUUCCACCUUCAGGCUAGACACCUCUAUAUCAAUCAGACCUGUAUCUCUUCAGAUUAUUAACCAUAGAACCAGGGUGUGUUUGAUUGGUGCAUCGCUGUCCACGGUUAACCCAACACACACACAUAUAUAUACAAACAUCGUUAAUCACCUAAGUGCUAUUUCUCAUUUUAUAUACGUUCAUCACAAAUAGCUCAAAAAUAAUUAUUAUAAUAUUAUGUACAGGUAAUCAAUUGAUCUACAGACUAACCUAUAGCACAAGUUAUUGUUUCUGCAAUGGUUUUAUCAUAUAGAUAGAUUUUGUUUGGUUAGCCUUGGACCUGGCCUCACCAAUCCAACACAGGCUGUAGAAUUCACUGGAUUUGCUUGACCAAGCCUGAAGCAGUGAUGUUAAGUUGAUGUAAGAUACUGUAUUGGCUGGGGACUGUUACUAUGGUGAUGUUGUAUGUUUGGUUGUGAUUAUCAGUACAAUGCAAGUUUGCCUUUGUUACACAUCAAGUAGCUGUGGUUAUAUGUGACUUUCAACAUGAACUAAUUCAGAUUAUUUGUAAAUUUGGAGAUUUACGUGUUUUUGUAGCUUUAAGUUGAAAUUGUUCUGCCUAUGUUGGUUUGUUUACAGCGGUUUACAUAUCAGAACACAAACUGUGUGUAUGAAUUGAGACAGGAGAGAUAUGUAUGUAGAAUUGAAACAGUAAAAGUGCAAUAAUAUUUUAACCAAUCCAUUUUACCACACCAUGAAUGUGUUACUUUUUAAAGAUUUGGAGAUGGAAGAUAUUAUUCCAUUUGUAAGACAUUUUAAACGAUGUGUGUAUAAUCUACUGAUGGUUUAUAACACACAAGUUGUUUACAUAUUGUUUGUUUACCCUUACAAUUAUUGUACAAAGUGUUCACCAAGACAAUUGAACAUAGGCGUUACUAACUAUAUAAAAAAAACAAAAAACGUUGACUCCUGUCAAAGAGCACAUAUUGUAGCAAUUGGCUGGAAUAGGAUACACAAAAUCAGAAAUCGUAUUACAGACUUGGUGCCAAACUGUUGUCCUCUGUCAUCUCAGUGUCCAUCUGUUCCUUGUUUGUCCAGCUGCCUAACCCACCUUGUCCUACAUCCAGAUCAUUCCUUUCUCUCUGAGUUAACAACCCUUCCCACCACCCCAGGGGGAUAGAAUUUGGGGGGGAGAAGAUCCUGUUUCCUUCUGCCUCCUUAAGUGUACAGAUUUGUUGCUUGUAGAAUGUUGCUGUGUAUAUAUUUAGUUCCUUUAUUGUCCAGACAUUUUUAGUUACUAUUUAACUUAUGAAUACCGUGUUUUAUACAGUUUUAUUAUUGGUACAAUUUAAAAUGUUGCGAUUCUUCAUUCCCAAGUUUUAGUCUAUGUAGUUUACACAUUUUAUCUCCUACAUUGGCAGCAUUGCCCAACAUUUAAACUAAGUUAUCAAGGUUGACAGCAUAUUUCAGCUUAUUAUUUUAUUCCUUUCCACUUAGCAACUUGUAGCCUAUUGGCAUCGUAGAAGUCACAAUGGAACUCCCUCUUCUUUUGACCCUGUGUAAGUUAAGUAUGAAUUGUAAGGCAAUCCAGUUGAACCCAAAUUACAUAUUUUCAUGGUCCCUGUCUGUGGCACAGUGUUGAUGGCAGACGUGGGGAGUGUAUGCAAGUAGCCAAUCGUCAUCUCUCUUUCAUGUUUAUAUCCUUGUUGAUAUCAUGCGUAUUGCCGUCACAACAUGCCAUACAAGUCAUAUCAUUGGAGUGUAAAAUUUGUACAAAGCGUUAAUUGUGCUUGUGGGAGGGCUGGCUGUUUAUAUAUUUGUGGGUGGGGGUGUGUAUCUAACUUCAGUAAACAUCUUGCCUCAAUCGUGUGCUGCAGCGUUUUGUAAUUAUUCAACCUGUCAGUGCUGUUGUUAACUGGCACAGUUCGUACAGUGGUAGAACAGAGAGGGUAUGUUAUUAAUUAUUCAUGACACUGCUAGACUGUAAUAACUUUGUUCAUGCUUCUUCAGAAUUAUUACCUGGGUGAAAAAAAAAAUACAUUCAGUCUGUAUCACAUUGAAAACCCUUUCUUUUUCCUGUUGCCAUGGUUACAAAUUUCAUGGUUUUAGAAACCACAUUGUUCACCCUGAUAAUUCUGUGAUCAUUCUGAUUUUAAGCAUCUCAACCAGAGAGCUGAGUUGAGGUGUGCCUGGCUUGGUCAUGUUUUAUGAUUUUAUUUUUUUAAUAUUGCUUUGUAUUUUGUAUGUUCUGUUUUAGAGAAAUCAUUUCCUUUAGAAUUCAUUCGCAUUGGCAAGUUCUAAUUUUCACGGCCAGUAUUUGUGCAUUCAUCAAUAACAAGUAUCAUUUUUUUAUAAAGAUGAACAUACAAUGUGUCACAAUAUUUCUUUGUUAUAUAACUAAAAAUUGCCCAAAAAAUUAUGUUUUUGCCUCUGGGUUUUUAUCAGUGAAAGGUUUAACCUUGGCACUUUAUGACAUGAUCGUGAUAGACAUUCACCAGCCACACUAACCUCACCUCAGCUCUUGCUAGUCUCUGCGUGUGUGAGAGAGACAACUUAGUGACACUGUUUACCAUGUUACAUUAACCAUGUUUUACCGCCGACCGUCAUGGGUCGACCUCUACUGCCUUUUGUACAUUUCACUCAUGAAAUAAAAAGGAUCUAUACAUUA